CAGUACAGAAAUGGUUCCCCUGAUUAUUAAAGUUCUGGUGGCGACAGCAGCUGCAGGAAGUUCUAUGUUCUGCAAACUCACUCAGGAGAAGGAAGAUCAACUGUGUUUUGGGACUUUGGGAGAAUCUUUGUCCUUCCUUCUUGUUGCAAACCAAGAUAAAGAAAUAUUAACAUUGAAGAAAGCCCCGACGUCAAAGGCAGUGUUGUCUCACGUCUGUUUGCCUCAUGGAGAGACCAUGGUCAACUGUUCCUCAGAGGGGGACAGUCUUCAGUUCAGCUGGACCCUAAACAGUCAGAUUCUUACCAGGCCAUUAGCCUCUGUUCACAACCACAGCAGUGUAAUCACCCAGAAGACUGAUGUGACAGGAGCCCUGACCUGUAUGGUUCAGAAUGAAGUUAGUAGCAGCAGAUCCACUAUGACUCUCCCAGCUUGUCCAGCUUUGUUUUGCGUGAAGAAGUAACCAGAAGAUCAAUGAAGCAUUUGGAAUUCAAACUGUAUUUUUUAAAUCAUGCUGUUUUAAAAUAAAAUUUUCCAUAGAUUAUGCUUCAUAUCUGAUGUACAGAAUGCAGUUUCUCUAUGAAUUACAAUAGAGUUUUCAAUUUGAUGUAUGCCUACAUACAGUACGUACUUUUAAUUGACUGGAAAAUGUGUACUAAUGUCAGUGAGUUAAAAAUAUAUAUAAGUGGGUCAACAGAUCCACAGGACAUUAGAAGACGUUUUGACUGUGUAUUCGGGUUACAAUGAAGUUGUUAGCAGAAGUGCUUAUUUGUCUAACAAUUAAUUAUGACCUCGACUGAUAGCAGAGAAACACAUAGACAGGAAUCAUAUUUUCAUAGGAUUUAAAGACACUGGGGGUUAACCCCAAACCUGGUGACCUUCUACAUGAAGAUGUUUUUUACAGAAAAAUGUCAUUGUGGAACAAAUGCUAAUUAAUAUUAAAAUAUUUUUGCUCAGGUGUCAUUAGAAUGUAAAAUGUUUAAGACAAACAACUUCACACAACAGCUUUACCCAACUGCAUUACAUAAUGUUUCCAGUCUUUUGUUGCCUCUGUGGCAACUUUUUUGAAACGUGCUGAGGUCGGAAGCCUGACUGAAAUUUGUCUAAAAGACCGCUUGAGUUUACAACAUUGCUUAGCUGAUUGGAGAAAACCUUCUCAAUGAUCUUGGCUAUAAAAGGAAGAUUUGAUGCAGGUCAAUAGUUGUUCAGUAUAGAUGUAACCAGUGUUCUCUUUUUAAUAGAGGCUUAAUGCCAGCUGUUUAUAGAGACAUUUGGACAAUGCCUGAUUGCAGAGAGUCGUUAGCUACAGAUCAAUUGUUAUACAGUUAAAAGUAGUUUUAAAAAAGUCAGAGUGUCGAGACAAGAUGUGGGUGUUUUAAGAUGUCAAACUGUUUCUUCUAAAGCUUUUUGAUCGAUUGUAUUAAAUUGCGACAUAAUAACCUAACUAUUUCAUGGAGGUCGUAGUGACAGUACAGUGUCAUUGUUUGACUGUGUAGUUCUGAUGGUCAGUCUAAUACUUUUUAUAUUUUCACCAAGAAAAAAGAAAAUUCAUUAGAUUUUUCCAUGGACAAAAGUUCUGAUGCUAUCUGCUUUAGGGG
ensembl:lncRNA